AAUUGUCACUCUGUGUUCUUGGUUCCUGUGUUCCGUGUCUCCUGUAACUCCGGUGUUCUUUAUUAAAGUUUUUGGUUUGGAAAAGUUCCUGGUCUCCUCGUUUCCCUGGCUCCAGAGGAUCGCGACCUAAACCAAGGUCAGAGCAGAAAGAAAUAUCUUAAUGCGUGUUCCGAAGAUGAACAAUGGUUUGGAUCGACAUGAGGGUCUGCUGGCUGCGAGUGAUACACAUGUUUGCUCUUCUCUGCAAUGGUGAGGGUCCCGACAUGGCUGGUGUCGCUGUGACUGACCCGGACCGGGUGAUACUGACUCUUUGACUCGGUGGAGCUGGACGGCACGUUCAUCU